rnacentral:rRNA from 1 species
CCUACGGGAGGCAGCAGUGAGGAAUAUUGGUCAAUGGGCGAGAGCCUGAACCAGCCAAGUCGCGUGAAGGAUGACGGCCCUACGGGUUGUAAACUUCUUUUGUCAGGGAGCAAUUGAGUCCACGUGUGGUCUUAGCGAGAGUACCUGAAGAAAAAGCAUCGGCUAACUCCGUGCCAGCAGCUGCGGUAAUACGUAGGGGGCAAGCGUUAUCCGGAAUUACUGGGUGUAAAGGGAGCGUAGACGGUGAUGCAAGUCUGGAGUGAAAGGCGGGGGCCCAACCCCCGGACUGCUCUGGAAACUGUGUAACUUGAGUGCAGGAGAGGUAAGCGGAAUUCCUAGUGUAGCGGUGAAAUGCGUAGAUAUUAGGAGGAACACCAGUGGCGAAGGCGGCUUACUGGACUGUAACUGACGUUGAGGCUCGAAAGCGUGGGGAGCAAACAGGAUUAGAUACCCUAGUAGUC